UACGGGAGGCAGCAGUGGGGAAUAUUGCACAAUGGGCGAAAGCCUGAUGCAGCUAUGCCGCGUGUAUGAAGAAGGCCUUAGGGUUGUAAAGUACUUUCAUUGGGGAGGAAAAACAAAACUAAUAAUUUUAUUUCUUGACGUUACCCGAAAAAGAAGCACCGGCUAACUCCGUGCCAGCAGCCGCGGUAAUACGGAGGGUGCUAGCGUUAAUCAGAAUUACUGGGCGUAAAGAGCACGUAGGUGGUUUUUUUAAGUCAGAUGUGAAAUCCCUGGGCUUAACCUAGGAACUGCAUUUUGAAACUGAAAUACUAGAGUAUCGUAGAGGGAGGUAGAAUUCUAGGUGUAGCGGUGAAAUGCGUAGAUAUCUGGAGGAAUACCUGUGGCGAAAGCGGCCUCCUAAACGAAUACUGACACUGAGGUGCGAAAGCGUGGGGAGCAAACGAGGGAUUAGAUACC
rnacentral:rRNA from 1 species